GGGUUGUGAGGUUAAGCGACUAAGCGUACACGGUGGAUGCCCUGGCAGUCAGAGGCGAUGAAGGACGUGCUAAUCUGCGAUAAGCGUCGGUAAGGUGAUAUGAACCGUUAUAACCGGCGAUUUCCGAAUGGGGAAACCCAGUGUGUUUCGACACACUAUCAUUAACUGAAUCCAUAGGUUAAUGAGGCGAACCGGGGGAACUGAAACAUCUAAGUACCCCGAGGAAAAGAAAUCAACCGAGAUUCCCCCAGUAGCGGCGAGCGAACGGGGAGCAGCCCAGAGCCUGAAUCAGUGUGUGUGUUAGUGGAAGCGUCUGGAAAGGCGCGCGAUACAGGGUGACAGCCCCGUACACAAAAAUGCACAUGCUGUGAGCUCGAUGAGUAGGGCGGGACACGUGGUAUCCUGUCUGAAUAUGGGGGGACCAUCCUCCAAGGCUAAAUACUCCUGACUGACCGAUAGUGAACCAGUACCGUGAGGGAAAGGCGAAAAGAACCCCGGCGAGGGGAGUGAAAAAGAACCUGAAACCGUGUACGUACAAGCAGUGGGAGCACGCUUCGGCGUGUGACUGCGUACCUUUUGUAUAAUGGGUCAGCGACUUAUAUUCUGUAGCAAGGUUAACCGAAUAGGGGAGCCGAAGGGAAACCGAGUCUUAACUGGGCGUUAAGUUGCAGGGUAUAGACCCGAAACCCGGUGAUCUAGCCAUGGGCAGGUUGAAGGUUGGGUAACACUAACUGGAGGACCGAACCGACUAAUGUUGAAAAAUUAGCGGAUGACUUGUGGCUGGGGGUGAAAGGCCAAUCAAACCGGGAGAUAGCUGGUUCUCCCCGAAAGCUAUUUAGGUAGCGCCUCGUGAAUUCAUCUCCGGGGGUAGAGCACUGUUUCGGCAAGGGGGUCAUCCCGACUUACCAACCCGAUGCAAACUGCGAAUACCGGAGAAUGUUAUCACGGGAGACACACGGCGGGUGCUAACGUCCGUCGUGAAGAGGGAAACAACCCAGACCGCCAGCUAAGGUCCCAAAGUCAUGGUUAAGUGGGAAACGAUGUGGGAAGGCCCAGACAGCCAGGAUGUUGGCUUAGAAGCAGCCAUCAUUUAAAGAAAGCGUAAUAGCUCACUGGUCGAGUCGGCCUGCGCGGAAGAUGUAACGGGGCUAAACCAUGCACCGAAGCUGCGGCAGCGACGCUGAUGCGUUGUUGGGUAGGGGAGCGUUCUGUAAGCCUGCGAAGGUGUGCUGUGAGGCAUGCUGGAGGUAUCAGAAGUGCGAAUGCUGACAUAAGUAACGAUAAAGCGGGUGAAAAGCCCGCUCGCCGGAAGACCAAGGGUUCCUGUCCAACGUUAAUCGGGGCAGGGUGAGUCGACCCCUAAGGCGAGGCCGAAAGGCGUAGUCGAUGGGAAACAGGUUAAUAUUCCUGUACUUGGUGUUACUGCGAAGGGGGGACGGAGAAGGCUAUGUUGGCCGGGCGACGGUUGUCCCGGUUUAAGCGUGUAGGCUGGUUUUCCAGGCAAAUCCGGAAAAUCAAGGCUGAGGCGUGAUGACGAGGCACUACGGUGCUGAAGCAACAAAUGCCCUGCUUCCAGGAAAAGCCUCUAAGCAUCAGGUAACAUCAAAUCGUACCCCAAACCGACACAGGUGGUCAGGUAGAGAAUACCAAGGCGCUUGAGAGAACUCGGGUGAAGGAACUAGGCAAAAUGGUGCCGUAACUUCGGGAGAAGGCACGCUGAUAUGUAGGUGAGGUCCCUCGCGGAUGGAGCUGAAAUCAGUCGAAGAUACCAGCUGGCUGCAACUGUUUAUUAAAAACACAGCACUGUGCAAACACGAAAGUGGACGUAUACGGUGUGACGCCUGCCCGGUGCCGGAAGGUUAAUUGAUGGGGUCAGCGCAAGCGAAGCUCUUGAUCGAAGCCCCGGUAAACGGCGGCCGUAACUAUAACGGUCCUAAGGUAGCGAAAUUCCUUGUCGGGUAAGUUCCGACCUGCACGAAUGGCGUAAUGAUGGCCAGGCUGUCUCCACCCGAGACUCAGUGAAAUUGAACUCGCUGUGAAGAUGCAGUGUACCCGCGGCAAGACGGAAAGACCCCGUGAACCUUUACUAUAGCUUGACACUGAACAUUGAGCCUUGAUGUGUAGGAUAGGUGGGAGGCUUUGAAGUGUGGACGCCAGUCUGCAUGGAGCCGACCUUGAAAUACCACCCUUUAAUGUUUGAUGUUCUAACGUUGACCCGUAAUCCGGGUUGCGGACAGUGUCUGGUGGGUAGUUUGACUGGGGCGGUCUCCUCCUAAAGAGUAACGGAGGAGCACGAAGGUUGGCUAAUCCUGGUCGGACAUCAGGAGGUUAGUGCAAUGGCAUAAGCCAGCUUGACUGCGAGCGUGACGGCGCGAGCAGGUGCGAAAGCAGGUCAUAGUGAUCCGGUGGUUCUGAAUGGAAGGGCCAUCGCUCAACGGAUAAAAGGUACUCCGGGGAUAACAGGCUGAUACCGCCCAAGAGUUCAUAUCGACGGCGGUGUUUGGCACCUCGAUGUCGGCUCAUCACAUCCUGGGGCUGAAGUAGGUCCCAAGGGUAUGGCUGUUCGCCAUUUAAAGUGGUACGCGAGCUGGGUUUAGAACGUCGUGAGACAGUUCGGUCCCUAUCUGCCGUGGGCGCUGGAGAACUGAGGGGGGCUGCUCCUAGUACGAGAGGACCGGAGUGGACGCAUCACUGGUGUUCGGGUUGUCAUGCCAAUGGCACUGCCCGGUAGCUAAAUGCGGAAGAGAUAAGUGCUGAAAGCAUCUAAGCACGAAACUUGCCCCGAGAUGAGUUCUCCCUGACCCUUUAAGGGUCCUGAAGGAACGUUGAAGACGACGACGUUGAUAGGCCGGGUGUGUAAGCGCAGCGAUGCGUUGAGCUAACCGGUACUAAUGAACCGUGAGGCUUAACCUUACAACGCCGAAG
rnacentral:rRNA from 1 species